rnacentral:rRNA from 1 species
UACGUAGGGCGCAAGCGUUGUCCGGAAUUAUUGGGCGUAAAGAGCUCGUAGGUGGUUUGUUACGUCUGCUGUGAAAACCUAGGGCUUAACCCUGGGCCUGCAGUGGAUACGGGCAGACUAGAGGUAGGUAGGGGAGAAUGGAAUUCCCGGUGUAGCGGUGAAAUGCGCAGAUAUCGGGAGGAACACCGGUGGCGAAGGCAAUCCCCUGGGCCUGCACUGACGCUCAUGCACGAAAGCGUGGGGAGCAAACAGG